rnacentral:rRNA from 1 species
UUAUUAAUACCCCCAAAAACACUCAAUAUUAAUUAAACAAACCAUUUUACCCCCCAAGUAUGGGCGACAGAAAAGGAACAUUCAGAGCAAUAGAAAAAGUACCGCAAGGGAAUGCUGAAAAAGAAGUGAAACAACUCAGUAAAGUUUAAAAAAGCAAAGAUUCACCCUUGUACCUUUUGCAUCAUGAUUUAGUCAGUAAAAACAAGCAAAAGGCACUUUAGUUUGAUUUCCCGAAACUAAGUGAGCUACUCCAAGACAGCCUAAAAUAGGGCUAACCCGUCUCUGUGGCAAAAGAGUGGGAUGAGCUUAGAGUAGAGGUGAUAAACCUACCGAACUUAGUUAUAGCUGGUUGCCUGAGAAAUGAAUAGAAGUUCAGCUUUUUGGUUUCUCCCUCCAACCUGCUUAACUAUAAACGAACCAAAGAAGCCAAAAAAGUUAAUUAAAGGGGGUACAGCUCCUUUAAACAAGAUACAACUUCACCAGCCGGGUAAAGAUCACAUACAGCCAAGGUAAAAUGUUUUAGUGGGCCUAAAAGCAGCCACCUAUAAGAAAGCGUCAAAGCUCCUUCAUAUCACCCCCCCCC